rnacentral:rRNA from 1 species
AUUGAACGCUGGCGGCAUGCUUUACACAUGCAAGUCGAACGGCAGCGCGGGCUUCGGCCUGGCGGCGAGUGGCGAACGGGUGAGUAAUGCAUCGGAACGUGCCCAGUAGUGGGGGAUAGCCCGGCGAAAGCCGGAUUAAUACCGCAUACGACCUGAGGGUGAAAGCGGGGGACCGAAAGGCCUCGCGCUAUUGGAGCGGCCGAUGUCGGAUUAGCUAGUUGGUGGGGUAAAGGCUUACCAAGGCGACGAUCCGUAGCUGGUCUGAGAGGACGACCAGCCACACUGGGACUGAGACACGGCCCAGACUCCUGCGGGAGGCAGCAGUGGGGAAUUUUGGACAAUGGGGGCGACCCUGACCCAGCCAUGCCGCGUGCGGGAAGACGGCCUUCGGGUUGUAAACCGCUUUUGUUCGGGAAGAAAUCCUCUGGGCUAAUACCCCGGGGGGAUGACGGUACCGGAAGAAUAAGCACCGGCUAACUACGUG